UACGGAGGGGACUAGCGUUGUUCGGAAUUACUGGGCGUAAAGGGCUCGUAGGCGGCCAACUAAGUCAGACGUGAAAUCCCUCGGCUUAACCGGGGAACUGCGUCUGAUACUGGAUGGCUUGAGUUCGGGAGAGGGAUGCGGAAUUCCGAGGUGUAGGCGGUGAAAUGCGUAGAUAUCUGGAAGGAACACCGGUGGCGAAGGCGGCAUCUGGACCGAUACUGAACGCUGAGGAGCGAAAGCCAGGG
rnacentral:rRNA from 1 species